AGUUUGAUCCUGGCUCAGGACGAACGCUGGCGGCGUGCUUAACACAUGCAAGUCGAACGGAAAGGCCUNUUCGGAGGUACUCGAGUGGCGAACGGGUGAGUAACACGUGGGCAAUCUGCCCUGCACUUCGGGAUAAGCCUGGGAAACUGGGUCUAAUACCGGAUAGGACCUCAAGACGCAUGUCUUCUGGUGGAAAGCUUUUGCGGUGUGGGAUGGGCCCGCGGCCUAUCAGCUUGUUGGUGGGGUGACGGCCUACCAAGGCGACGACGGGUAGCCGGCCUGAGAGGGUGUCCGGCCACACUGGGACUGAGAUACGGCCCAGACUCCUACGGGAGGCAGCAGUGGGGAAUAUUGCACAAUGGGCGCAAGCCUGAUGCAGCGACGCCGCGUGGGGGAUGACGGCCUUCGGGUUGUAAACCUCUUU
rnacentral:rRNA from 1 species